CGAACGCUGGCGGCGUGCUUAACACAUGCAAGUCGAACGGAAAGGCCCUGCUUUUGUGGGGUGCUCGAGUGGCGAACGGGUGAGUAACACGUGAGUAACCUGCCCUUGACUUUGGGAUAACUUCAGGAAACUGGGGCUAAUACCGGAUAGGAGCUCCUGCUGCAUGGUGGGGGUUGGAAAGUUUCGGCGGUUGGGGAUGGGCUCGCGGCUUAUCAGCUUGUUGGUGGGGUAGUGGCUUACCAAGGCUUUGACGGGUAGCCGGCCUGAGAGGGUGACCGGCCACAUUGGGACUGAGAUACGGCCCAGACUCCUACGGGAGGCAGCAGUGGGGAAUAUUGCACAAUGGGCGGAAGCCUGAUGCAGCAACGCCGCGUGCGGGAUGACGGCCUUCGGGUUGUAAACCGCUUUCGCCUGUGACGAAGCGUGAGUGACGGUAAUGGGUAAAGAAGCACCGGCUAACUACGUG
rnacentral:rRNA from 1 species